rnacentral:misc_RNA from 1 species
AUAAGUGACCAUAGGAGUGUG